UGAGUCGGCCGGGUGGUCGCGGCGUCGGUCCCGACGUAGUCGGGUCACGGCGUCGAGGAAGGUCGGGGCUCCGCAGGGCAGGGUGCUGGUUAACGGCCAGUCGGGGUGACCCGCAGGAAAGUGCCACAGAGAACAGACCGCCGAUGGCGGCGCCCUCCGGGGCGACGCACAGGUGAGGGUGAAACGGUGCGGUAAGAGCGCACCAGCGCCCGGGGUGACCCGGGUGGCUCGGCAAACCCCACUCGGAGCAAGGCCAAACGUGGGACGACCGGCCCGGUCGAUGUCCCCAGGUGGGCCGCACAGAUGGAUGGCCACCCAGUCCCGCAAGGGAUGGACAGAACCCCGCCUACAGGCCGACUCACCGU
rnacentral:RNase_P_RNA from 1 species